AGUGAACGCUGGCGGUAGGCCUAACACAUGCAAGUCGAACGGCAGCACAGUAAGAGCUUGCUCUUACGGGUGGCGAGUGGCGGACGGGUGAGGAAUACAUCGGAAUCUACUUUUUCGUGGGGGAUAACGUAGGGAAACUUACGCUAAUACCGCAUACGACCUACGGGUGAAAGCAGGGGAUCUUCGGACCUUGCGCGAUUGAAUGAGCCGAUGUCGGAUUAGCUAGUUGGCGGGGUAAAGGCCCACCAAGGCGACGAUCCGUAGCUGGUCUGAGAGGAUGAUCAGCCACACUGGAACUGAGACACGGUCCAGACUCCUACGGGAGGCAGCAGUGGGGAAUAUUGGACAAUGGGCGAAAGCCUGAUCCAGCCAUACCGCGUGGGUGAAGAAGGCCUUCGGGUUGUAAAGCCCUUUUGUUGGGAAAGAAAAGCAGCAGGUUAAUACCACGCUGUUCUGACGAUACCCAAAGAAUAAGCACCGGCUAACUUCGUG
rnacentral:rRNA from 1 species